rnacentral:rRNA from 1 species
GAGUUUGAUCAUGGCUCAGGACGAACGCUGGCGGCGUGCUUAACACAUGCAAGUCGAACGGUAAGGCUCCAGCUUGCUGGGGUACACGAGUGGCGAACGGGUGAGUAACACGUGGGUGACCUGCCCUGCACUUCGGGAUAAGCCUGGGAAACUGGGUCUAAUACCGGAUAGGACCGCACCGUGAGGGUGUGGUGGAAAGUUUUUUGUUGGUGGUGG